rnacentral:rRNA from 1 species
UACAGAGGUCCCAAGCGUUGUUCGGAUUCACUGGGCGUAAAGGGUGCGUAGGCGGCCAGGUAAGUUCGGUGUGAAAGCUCGGAGCUUAACUCCGAAAUGGCAUUGAAUACUAUCUGGCUAGAGGGUCGGAAGGGAGACUGGAAUUCUCGGUGUAGCAGUGAAAUGCGUAGAUAUCGAGAGGAACACCAGUGGCGAAGGCGAGUCUCUGGACGACUCCUGACACUGAGGCACGAAAGCCAGGGGAGCAAACAGG